rnacentral:rRNA from 1 species
CGGAAGGCCACUUCGGUGGUACUCGAGCGGCGAACGGGUGAGUAACACGUGAGUAAUCUGCCCCUGGCUUUGGGAUAGCCACCGGAAACGGUGAUUAAUACCGGAUACGACAACUUCUCGCAUGGGAUGGUUGUGGAAAGUUUUUCGGCCAGGGAUGUGCUCGCGGCCUAUCAGCUUGAUGGUGAGGUAAUGGCUCACCAUGGCUUCGACGGGUAGCCGGCCUGAGAGGGUGACCGGUCACACUGGGACUGAGACACGGCCCAGACUCCUACGGGAGGCAGCAGUGGGGAAUAUUGGACAAUGGGCGGAAGCCUGAUCCAGCAACGCCGCGUGAGGGAUGACGGCCUUCGGGUUGUAAACCUCUUUCAGUACCGACGAAGCGCAAGUGACGGUAGGUACAGAAGAAGCACCGGCCAACUACGUGCCAGCAGCCGCGGUAAUACGUAGGGUGCGAGCGUUGUCCGGAAUUAUUGGGCGUAAAGGGCUCGUAGGCGGUCUGUCGCGUCGGGAGUGAAAACCAGGUGCUUAACACCUGGCUUGCUUUCGAUACGGGCAGACUAGAGGCAUGCAGGGGAGAACGGAAUUCCUGGUGUAGCGGUGAAAUGCGCAGAUAUCAGGAGGAACACCGGUGGCGAAGGCGGUUCUCUGGGCAUGUCCUGACGCUGAGGAGCGAAAGUGUGGGGAGCGAACAGGAUUAGAUACCCUGGUAGUCCACACCGUAAACGUUGGGCGCUAGGUGUGGGAUCCAUU